rnacentral:rRNA from 1 species
UGGUGGGUAGUUUGACUGGGGCGGUCUCCUCCCAAAGAGUAACGGAGGAGCACGAAGGUUGGCUAAUCCUGGUCGGACAUCAGGAGGUUAGUGCAAUGGCAUAAGCCAGCUUGACUGCGAGCGUGACGGCGCGAGCAGGUGCGAAAGCAGGUCAUAGUGAUCCGGUGGUUCUGAAUGGAAGGGCCAUCGCUCAACGGAUAAAAGGUACUCCGGGGAUAACAGGCUGAUACCGCCCAAGAGUUCAUAUCGACGGCGGUGUUUGGCACCUCGAUGUCGGCUCAUCACAUCCUGGGGCUGAAGUAGGUCCCAAGGGUAUGGCUGUUCGCCAUUUAAAGUGGUACGCGAGCUGGGUUUAGAACGUCGUGAGACAGUUCGGUCCCUAUCUGCCGUGGGCGCUGGAGAAUUGAGGGGGGCUGCUCCUAGUACGAGAGGACCGGAGUGGACGCAUCACUGGUGUUCGGGUUGUCAUGCCAAUG